UGGCUUGGUAUCCUGGGAGGUGGGCUCAGUCUCCCCCACCUCCUCUCAACUAAGCCAAGAGUAGAAGGGCCAGGCAUCCUUCUCCAUGGGAGAGGUGUUUAAGUAUGGACCUACCUGGGCUGUCCUAGCCUCACAUUU
ensembl:snoRNA